GAUCAUCCCUAGUGACUGUUACGCCAACCACAGGAACAGGACCACCUGAGACAAAGAGAGUGGAGGAGUGAGUGGAAAAGGCAUAAAUGCAGGAUGAAGAAGAGAAGAAGAUUAUACAUACAGUAUAAAAGCUUUUUGUUUCUCGCAGGGAUUCGGGCACGACAUCCUCAGGAGUCCACAGAUCCUGAUGGGGACAGAGAGUGAGACUGAGGCCUUUUUUGGCUAGUUUCAGAAGGGAACAAAAGUGUCAUAGUUACUCCACCAGUCAAUGCAUCAUACCUGCAUGGGACCUGUUUCCUGAGCCCCUGUGUCGCCCUCUAGAGUCUGAGUGUAGAGCUCCAGAUUACUAAGGGAGUCUGAAUCUGUGGGGUAGAAGAGCAGCAAGGAGCGCAGGGUCUCCACCGCCCCCUUCAGGUCACCAGCUGCAGUACACCAAAGAGAGGUGCUCGAGCUGUAAGGGCAGGAAGUCCUCCAGAGCAGAAACCCUUCCAGGUCGCGUUGACACUAAGGUCACACACAUCUGUUUGCAUGACAGCAAGGAGAGAGAGAGGUCUGAAGAAACAGAGA